GGUUAAGCGACCAAGCGUACACGGUGGAUGCCCUGGCAGUCAGAGGCGAUGAAGGACGUGCUAAUCUGCGAAAAGCGCCGGUAAGGUGAUAUGAACCGUUAUAACCGGCGAUGUCCGAAUGGGGAAACCCAGUGUGACUCGUCACACUAUCAUUAACUGAAUCCAUAGGUUAAUGAGGCGAACCGGGGGAACUGAAACAUCUAAGUACCCCGAGGAAAAGAAAUCAACCGAGAUUCCCCCAGUAGCGGCGAGCGAACGGGGAGGAGCCCAGAGCCUGAAUCAGCAUGUGUGUUAGUGGAAGCGUCUGGAAAGGCGCGCGAUACAGGGUGAGAGCCCCGUACACAAAAGCGCAUAUGCUGUGAGCUCGAUGAGUAGGGCGGGACACGUGGUAUCCUGUCUGAAUAUGGGGGGACCAUCCUCCAAGGCUAAAUACUCCUGACUGACCGAUAGUGAACCAGUACCGUGAGGGAAAGGCGAAAAGAACCCCGGCGAGGGGAGUGAAACAGAACCUGAAACCGUGUACGUACAAGCAGUGGGAGCCUCUCUUUAUGGGGGGUGACUGCGUACCUUUUGUAUAAUGGGUCAGCGACUUAUAUUCUGUAGCAAGGUUAACCGCAUAGGGGAGCCGAAGGGAAACCGAGUCUUAAUUGGGCGUUAAGUUGCAGGGUAUAGACCCGAAACCCGGUGAUCUAGCCAUGGGCAGGUUGAAGGUUGGGUAACACUAACUGGAGGACCGAACCGACUAAUGUUGAAAAAUUAGCGGAUGACCUGUGGCUGGGGGUGAAAGGCCAAUCAAACCGGGAGAUAGCUGGUUCUCCCCGAAAGCUAUUUAGGUAGCGCCUCGUGAACUCAUCUCCGGGGGUAGAGCACUGUUUCGGCUAGGGGGCCAUCCCGGCUUACCAACCCGAUGCAAACUGCGAAUACCGGAGAAUGUUAUCACGGGAGACACACGGCGGGUGCUAACGUCCGUCGUGAAGAGGGAAACAACCCAGACCGCCAGCUAAGGUCCCAAAGUCAUGGUUAAGUGGGAAACGAUGUGGGAAGGCCCAGACAGCCAGGAUGUUGGCUUAGAAGCAGCCAUCAUUUAAAGAAAGCGUAAUAGCUCACUGGUCGAGUCGGCCUGCGCGGAAGAUGUAACGGGGCUAAACCAUGCACCGAAGCUGCGGCAGCGACACUUUAGUGUUGUUGGGUAGGGGAGCGUUCUGUAAGCCGUUGAAGGUGUCCUGUGAGGGGUGCUGGAGGUAUCAGAAGUGCGAAUGCUGACAUAAGUAACGAUAAAGCGGGUGAAAAGCCCGCUCGCCGGAAGACCAAGGGUUCCUGUCCAACGUUAAUCGGGGCAGGGUGAGUCGACCCCUAAGGCGAGGCCGAAAGGCGUAGUCGAUGGGAAACGGGUUAAUAUUCCCGUACUUGGUGUUACUGCGAAGGGGGGACGGAGAAGGCUAUGUUGGCCGGGCGACGGUAGUCCCGGUUUAAGCGUGUAGGUGUGUGUUCCAGGCAAAUCCGGUUCACUUUAACACUGAGGCGUGAUGACGAGGCACCACGGUGCUGAAGCAACAAAUGCCCUGCUUCCAGGAAAAGCCUCUAAGCAUCAGGUAACAUCAAAUCGUACCCCAAACCGACACAGGUGGUCAGGUAGAGAAUACCAAGGCGCUUGAGAGAACUCGGGUGAAGGAACUAGGCAAAAUGGUGCCGUAACUUCGGGAGAAGGCACGCUGACACGUAGGUGAAGUGAUUUACUCACGGAGCUGAAGUCAGUCGAAGAUACCAGCUGGCUGCAACUGUUUAUUAAAAACACAGCACUGUGCAAACACGAAAGUGGACGUAUACGGUGUGACGCCUGCCCGGUGCCGGAAGGUUAAUUGAUGGGGUCAGCGCAAGCGAAGCUCCUGAUCGAAGCCCCGGUAAACGGCGGCCGUAACUAUAACGGUCCUAAGGUAGCGAAAUUCCUUGUCGGGUAAGUUCCGACCUGCACGAAUGGCGUAAUGAUGGCCAGGCUGUCUCCACCCGAGACUCAGUGAAAUUGAACUCGCUGUGAAGAUGCAGUGUACCCGCGGCAAGACGGAAAGACCCCGUGAACCUUUACUAUAGCUUGACACUGAACAUUGAGCCUUGAUGUGUAGGAUAGGUGGGAGGCUUUGAAGCGUGGACGCCAGUCUGCGUGGAGCCGACCUUGAAAUACCACCCUUUAAUGUUUGAUGUUCUAACGUGGACCCGUAAUCCGGGUUGCGGACAGUGUCUGGUGGGUAGUUUGACUGGGGCGGUCUCCUCCUAAAGAGUAACGGAGGAGCACGAAGGUUGGCUAAUCCUGGUCGGACAUCAGGAGGUUAGUGCAAUGGCAUAAGCCAGCUUGACUGCGAGCGUGACGGCGCGAGCAGGUGCGAAAGCAGGUCAUAGUGAUCCGGUGGUUCUGAAUGGAAGGGCCAUCGCUCAACGGAUAAAAGGUACUCCGGGGAUAACAGGCUGAUACCGCCCAAGAGUUCAUAUCGACGGCGGUGUUUGGCACCUCGAUGUCGGCUCAUCACAUCCUGGGGCUGAAGUAGGUCCCAAGGGUAUGGCUGUUCGCCAUUUAAAGUGGUACGCGAGCUGGGUUUAGAACGUCGUGAGACAGUUCGGUCCCUAUCUGCCGUGGGCGCUGGAGAAUUGAGGGGGGCUGCUCCUAGUACGAGAGGACCGGAGUGGACGCAUCACUGGUGUUCGGGUUGUCAUGCCAAUGGCACUGCCCGGUAGCUAAAUGCGGAAAAGAUAAGUGCUGAAAGCAUCUAAGCACGAAACUUGCCCCGAGAUGAGUUCUCCCUGAGACUUUGAGUCUCCUGAAGGAACGUUAAAGACGAUGACGUUGAUAGGCCGGGUGUGUAAGCGCAGCGAUGCGUUGAGCUAACCGGUACUAAUGAACCGUGAGGCUUAACCUU
rnacentral:rRNA from 3 species